GCGUGUCCGGAAUUAUUGGGCGUAAAGAGCUCGUAGGUCGUUUGUCGCGUCGAUUGUGAAAAUCUGAGGCUCAACCUCAGACCUGCAGUCGAUACGGGCAAACUAGAGUGUGGUAGGGGAGACUGGAAUUCCUGGUGUAGCGGUGGAAUGCGCAGAUAUCAGGAGGAACACCAAUGGCGAAGGCAGGUCUCUGGGCCAUAACUGACACUGAGGAGCGAAAGUGCGGGGAGCGAACAGGAUUAGAUACCCUGGCAGUCCGCACCGUAAACGGUGGGCACUAGUUGUGGGAACCUUCCACGGUUUCCGCGACGCAGCAAACGCAUUAAGUGCCCCGCCUGGGGAGUACGAUCGCAAGAUUAAAACUCAAAGGAAUUGACGGGGCCCCGCACAAGCAGCGGAGCAUGCGGCUUAAUUCGACGCAACGCGAAGAACCUUACCAAGGCUUGACAUAUAGCGAAAAGUGGCAGAGAUGUCAUGUCCGCAAGGGCGCUAUACAGGUGGUGCAUGGUUGUCGUCAGCUCGUGUCGUGAGAUGUUGGGUUAAGUCCCGCAACGAGCGCAACCCUCGUUCUGUGUUACCAGCAUUUAGUUGGGGACUCACAGGAGACUGCCGGGGUCAACUCGGAGGAAGGUGGGGAUGACGUCAAAUCAUCAUGCCCCUUAUGUCUUGGGCUGCACGCAUGCUACAAUGGCCGGUACAAAGUGCUGCGAGAUCGUAAGAUUGAGCGAAUCACAUAAAGCCGGUCUCAGUUCGGAUUGAGGUCUGCAACUCGACCUCAUGAAGUCGGAGUUGCUAGUAAUCGUAGAUCAGCAACGCUACGGUGAAUACGUUCCCGGGGCUUGUACACACCGCCCGUCACGUCACGAAAGUCGGUAACACCCAAAGUUAGUGGCCCAACCGCAAGGGGGGAGCUACCUAAGGUGGGAUCGGUGAUUGGGACGAAGUCGUAACAAGGUAGCC
rnacentral:rRNA from 1 species